rnacentral:lncRNA from 1 species
AUGAGCUCCUCCUCCAAGUGUGGCUGCCCCGUCGUCUUGGACCUCAACAACACCUUCCGGUUCAUGGAAUUGGGAGCCUCUUCUUCCUCGUCUAGGCUUCUGAACAGCAGCAACCAGCUCUCGUGCAUCACCUCUGUACGAUCCAAAUCCCAAAGACCACUGGACCCCUCAUGCCGCCUUCAAUGCCUUCAUCAUUCAUAUCCUUCUUUGGCUUUGCCACACUCUCGCAGAGAUUGUGCCCUAAGAGUAAGAGCCACCAUUAAAGAUGAUACUAACGUCGUCACCACGGAGGAGAAGGUAAAUGGUGAUUGUUCUGCUGAAAUCGAGCAUUCGAUUUUGACGGCUUUGUCGCCGUUGGACGGUCGUUAUUGGGGUAAAGUCAAGGAAUUGGCUCCGUACAUGAGUGAAUAUGGUCUCAUCUACUACCGUGUUCUAGUUGAGGUACUUCUUUUAUUUAUUGCAUUUUUGUUUGUUUGUUUCUAUUAGAGCAAUUGAGUUUUCUAAUCUAUUAGAAGCAUAACAAUUAUGUCUUUCAGUAUCAAAUAUCACAUUUUUCACAAGUCUUAUUUUCUUUGGUUAAUUGGGUUCUUUGUGGAUUUUUAUUUUUAUUUUUAUUUUUUGGGUGAAAGUGUGAUUUAUAUUUAUGAAAUGUAUGACAGAUCAAAUGGUUGUUGAAACUUUCUCAAAUCGCUGAAGUCACGGAGGUGCCCGGUUUCAGUGAAGAUGCUCAGUCUUACUUGCAAGGAAUUAUUGAUGGAUUUUGCAUCAGUGAUGCAUUGGAAAUCAAGAGGAUUGAGAAAAUGACUAACCAUGAUGUAAAAGCGGUGGAGUACUUCUUGAAACAGAAAUGCAUUUCACAUCCAGAAAUAGCUAAGGUAGACAUUCCUUCUAUUAGUUAUUUCCUUUGUAUUUGAUACAAUUCUCUUGGAUGUCUUUGUUUCAAGUUUUUGAGAAGCACUUAAUGCUUUCUUAUUUCAGGUGCUUGAAUUUUUUCAUUUUGCUUGCACAUCUGAGGACAUCAACAAUCUUGCUCAUGCUUUGAUGUUAAAAGGAGCUAUCAACAAUGUUAUAUUGCCUGUCAUGGAUGAUUUGAUUGAGGCAAUAUGUGGCAUGUCAAAGGAUAAUGCUUCCGUUCCCAUGCUAUCUCGCACACAUGGUCAGACAGCCUCACCCACAACUUUGGGGAAAGAAAUGGCAACUUUUGCUGUUAGGUUAAGCAUACAAAGGCACAGAAUUUCUGAAGUCGAGAUAAUGGGGAAGUUUGCUGGUGCUGUAGGAAAUUACAAUGCUCAUCUAGCUGCAUAUCCUAAUAUUGAUUGGCCCCUAAUUGCUGAAGAGUUUGUAAUAUCUCUUGGAGUGAGUAUUAAUCAUUAUGUUACUCAGAUCGAGACUCAUGAUUAUAUGUCAAAAGUUUUUAAUGCAUUCAACCGGUUCAAUAAUAUAUUGAUUGACUUUGAUAGUGAUAUAUGGCGCUACAUAUCUUUGGGUUACUUCAAGCAGACAACUAGGGCAGGUGAAAUUGGGUCAUCAACAAUGCCUCACAAAGUAAACCCUAUUGAUUUUGAAAAUAGUGAAGGUAAUCUUGGUAUUGCUAGUGGAAAUCUUUCCUACCUGAGUGAGAAGUUGCCUAAAUCACGUUUGCAGCGUGACCUGACUGAUUCUACUGUUCUGAGAAACAUGGGUGUCGGACUGGGGCACUCUCUUCUUGCUUACAGAAGUACACUGCAGGGAAUAGCAAAGCUUCAGGUUAAUGAAGCUCGCAUAAGUGAGGAGUUGAACCAGUCUUGGGAGGUGCUUGCUGAAGCAAUACAAACUGUUAUGCGAAGAUAUAGUGUUCCUGAGCCUUAUGAGAAGCUAAAGGAACUAACAAGAGGAAGAACAGUUACCAAAGAAAGAAUAAAAGAGUUCAUUAAAGGCUUGGAAUUACCUGAAGAACCAAAGACCGUUUUGUCAAAGCUGACACCGCAUAGCUAUGUUGGAGCUGCUGUUCAACUGGCCAGGAUGGUAGACACGGCUGUUAGAGCCACCAGAAAAAACACCAAUGUUUCCACUGAGAAGAUCAAGAUGGUAUCUGGUAAAUCUUCUUGUGAAUCUGAGCUUGUGAAUUUGAUGGCUUUGUCACCAUUGGAUGGUCGGUACUGGGGUAAAGUCAAGGACUUGGCGCCUUACAUGAGUGAGUAUGGGCUAAUCUACUUCCGUGUUCUAGUUGAGAUCAAAUGGUUACUAUGGCUUUCACAAAUUCCUGAAGUCACAGAGGUACCUACCUUUAGUGAAAAUGCUCGGUCUUAUUUGCAAGAAGUGAUUGAUGGAUUUAGUACCAAUGAUGCAUUAGAAAUAAAGAAGAUUGAGAAAGUAACAAAUCAUGAUGUGAAAGCGGUGGAGUACUUCUUGAAACAAAGAUUCCAAUCACAUCCAGAAAUAGCUAAGGUGCUUGAAUUUUUUCAUUUUGCUUGCACAUCCGAGGACAUCAACAAUCUUGCCCAUGCAUUAAUGCUGAAAGAAGCCAUGAACAGUGUCAUAUUUCCUGUCAUGGAUGGUUUGGUUGAGGCAGUAUGUAACAUGGCUAAAGACAACGCUCAUAUUUCUAUGCUCUCUCGUACUCAUGGACAGCCUGCUUCACCCACAACUUUAGGAAAGGAAAUGGCAAAUUUUGCUGUCAGAUUAAGCAGAGAAAGACGAGAGAUUUCUCGGGUGGAGAUAAUGGGAAAAUUUGCUGGUGCUGUUGGAAAUUACAAUGCUCAUCUUAUUGCAUAUCCUGAUAUCAAUUGGCCCCAAAUUGCUGAAGAGUUUGUAACAUCUCUUGGGUUGAGUUUUAAUCCCUAUGUUACGCAGAUUGAACCUCAUGACCAUAUGGCAGAACUUUUUCAUGCAAUUAGCCAGUUCAAUAACAUAUUGAUCGACUUUGAUAGAGAUAUAUGGGACUAUGUAUCGUUGGGUUAUUUUAAGCAGAUAACUAAGGCUGGUGAGAUUGGGUCAUCAACAAUGCCUCACAAGGUAAACCCUAUUGAUUUUGAAAACAGUGAAGGCAAUCUUGGUGUGGCUAAUGGAAAUUUUUGUCAUCUGAGCAUGAAGUUGCCUAUUUCGCGUUGGCAGCGUGACUUGACAGAUUCAACUGUUUUGAGGAACAUGGGUCUAGGAUUAGGGCACUCUCUUCUUGCCUACAAAAGCACACUUCAGGGAAUAUCAAAGCUUCAGGUCAAUGAAGGUUGCAUAAGUAAGGAUUUGAACCUUACUUGGGAAGUUCUUGCUGAACCAAUACAGACAAUUAUGCGAAGAUAUGGUGUUCCUGAGCCCUAUGAAAAGUUGAAGGAACUAACCAGAGGAAGAGCAGUUACCAAGGAAAGUAUAGUAGAUUUUAUGCAAGGUUUGGAAUUACCUAACGAAGCAAAGUCUAAUCUACUAAAGUUAACACCGCAUAGUUAUGUUGGAGCAGCUGUUGAAUUGGCUAGGACGGUAGACAGUGCUGUGAAGGUGUUA